rnacentral:rRNA from 1 species
AGGGAAUCUUCCACAAUGGACGCAAGUCUGAUGGAGCAACGCCGCGUGAGUGAAGAAGGUUUUCGGACCGUAAAGCUCUGUUGUUGGUGAAGAAGGAUAGAGGUAGUAACUGGCCUUUAUUUGACGGUAAUCAACCAGAAAGUCACGGCUAACUACGUGCCAGCAGCCGCGGUAAUACGUAGGUGGCAAGCGUUGUCCGGAUUUAUUGGGCGUAAAGCGAGCGCAGGCGGAAGAAUAAGUCUGAUGUGAAAGCCCUCGGCUUAACCGAGGAAUUGCAUCGGAAACUGUUUUCUUGAGUGCAGAAGAGGAGAGUAGAACUCCAUGUGUAGCGGUGGAAUGCGUAGAUAUAUGGAAGAAUACCAGUGGCGAAGGCGGCUCUCUGGUCUGCAACUGACGCUGAGGCUCGAAAGCAUGGGUAGCGAACAGGAUUAGAUACCCUGGUAGUCCAUGCCGUAAAACGAUGAGUGCUAAGUGUUGGGAGGCUUCCGCCUCUCAGUGCUGCAGCUAACGCAUUAAGCACUCCGCCUGGGGGAGUACGACCGCAAGGUUGAAACUCU